rnacentral:rRNA from 1 species
CCUACGGGAGGCAGCAGUGGGGGAUAUUGGACAAUGGGGGGAACCCUGAUCCAGCGACGCCGCGUGAGUGAAGAAGUAUUUCGGUAUGUAAAGCUCUGUCAGCAGGGAAGAAAGAAAUGACGGUACCUGACCAAGAAGCCCCGGCUAACUACGUGCCAGCAGCCGCGGUAAUACGUAGGGGGCAAGCGUUAUCCGGAAUUACUGGGUGUAAAGGGAGCGUAGACGGUUAAGUAAGUCUGGAGUGAAAGGCCGGGGCCCAACCCCGGGACUGCUCUGGAAACUAUUGAACUUGAGUGCAGGAGAGGUAAGCGGAAUGCCUAGUGUAGCGGUGAAAUGCGUAGAGAUUAGGAGGAACACCAGUGGCGAAGGCGGCUUACUGGACUGUAACUGACGUUGAGGCUCGAAAGCGUGGGGAGCAAACAGGAUUAGAUACCCCAGUAGUC